rnacentral:rRNA from 1 species
UACGUAGGGUGCAAGCGUUGUCCGGAAUUAUUGGGCGUAAAGGGUUUGUAGGUGGCUUAUUAAGUCAGACGUGAAAUCCCUCAGCUUAACUGGGGAACUGCGUCUGAUACUGGUUGGCUCGAGUGCAGGAGAGGAACGCGGAAUUCAGGUGUAGCGGUGAAAUGCGUAGAUAUCUGGAGGAACACCGGUGGCGAAGGCGGCGUUCUGGACUGCAACUGACACUGAAAAACGAAAGCCAGGGGAGCAAACGGG